GACGAACGCUGGCGGCGUGCCUAAUACAUGCAAGUCGAGCGAAUGGAUUAAGAGCUUGCUCUUAUGAAGUUAGCGGCGGACGGGUGAGUAACACGUGGGUAACCUGCCCAUAAGACUGGGAUAACUCCGGGAAACCGGGGCUAAUACCGGAUAACAUUUUGAACCGCAUGGUUCGAAAUUGAAAGGCGGCUUCGGCUGUCACUUAUGGAUGGACCCGCGUCGCAUUAGCUAGUUGGCGAGGUAACGGCUCACCAAGGCAACGAUGCGUAGCCGACCUGAGAGGGUGAUCGGCCACACUGGGACUGAGACACGGCCCAGACUCCUACGGGAGGCAGCAGUAGGGAAUCUUCCGCAAUGGACGAAAGUCUGACGGAGCAACGCCGCGUGAGUGAUGAAGGCUUUCGGGUCGUAAAACUCUGUCGUUAGGGAAGAACAAGUGCUAGUUGAAUAAGCUGGCACCUUGACGGUACCUAACCAGAAAGCCACGGCUAACUACGUGCCAGCCGCCGCAGUAA
rnacentral:rRNA from 1 species